CUUUAGCCCUGAUCGAGGCGGUAUCCUCGAAGUGCAACGUAGAGAUAUAGCCGAGAGCGGGAGGGAAC
rnacentral:misc_RNA from 1 species